UCCCUGGUGGUCUAGUGGUUAGGAUUCAGCGUUUUCACCGCUGUGGCCCGGGUUUGAUUCCCGGUCAGGGAA